CCUGAAAAUUUGGAACAGGUGGAUAUAAUUUGGUAGUGGAACAUUUGAA
rnacentral:rRNA from 8 species